rnacentral:rRNA from 1 species
UACGUAGGGGGCAAGCGUUGUCCGGAAUCAUUGGGCGUAAAGAGCGUGUAGGCGGCCCGAUAAGUCCGCCGUGAAAGUCCACGGCUCAACCCUGGAAUGCCGGUGGAAACUGUCGGGCUGGAGUCCGGAAGAGGCGAGUGGAAUUCCUGGUGUAGCGGUGAAAUGCGUAGAUAUCAGGAGGAACACCAAUGGCGAAGGCAGCUCGCUGGGACGGUACUGACGCUGAGACGCGAAAGCGUGGGGAGCAAACAGG